CAGAACCUUCUCAUGAAAUUCGCACCGAAUCCAUGGUCCCACCCAUGUGUUAGGUAGUUUCUUCGGAGAGGUUGAUCGUGUUGAUUGAUGUGUCGUGGUUUUAACAAAUUGAUCGAUUGAUUUGCAUGCUUAAUUGAAGAUUGUGUUCCCGAAGUGAUCGUUAAAAUGAGUGGUGCAGGAAAAUGAUUCGCUACAAGGCCAUCAACCUCGAAAAUUUCAGACCAACGAUCGUGCAGCAUAGCGACUAGGAUUCCAGGGCAGAGCAUUCCAGAAGGCGGCGGCUAAAAGUGGCGGCUCUUGUGCGAGGAUUCAUCCAUCUCAACCCAAUCGCUCACCGAAUACACAUUGUGGUAGAUUUAUUUCCGUACAUGCGGACGACAAAGACCCAUCAACAUUGUCACCUGGCGUCACCGUAAUCCCGUGUCAAAAUCGAGAUAGAACAGGAUAGGAACCAGAAAAAAAACAGCAGCUGAAAAAUGAUGGCGGCAUCUUGUCCACCUUUCAA